ACAAGUUUAGUUCCUCCACCGAAAGUCCACCACAGUGAUACAAUCUAAUGAAACGGUCGUACAAAAACCUCUAUUCCACUCGAGUGAACACAAACUCCAGCAGAGAGAGAGAAGCAACACUUCAACACACUGAUAUUAGAAGAAACUCAGAUCUUCUCAACACUCAAACAUUCAGUUUGGACAAAAUGUUAUUAUAAUUUUUUUCACAAGCAGUUGAAGAGUUUAUUCAUCUACAACAGAGAUCAUUCAGUUUGACUUUCUAUCCUGUAUUUCUCAUUUGUUCUCUUGUCGUGUGCUGAUAUAACACUGUUUGAAGAAAUAUAUCUGAUGAUCUGUGACCUCUGAGGUGACCUUUGACCUCUUUUAUCAUGGAUGAUGUUGUGAGUUUCUCAUAAUGAUCUUCUGUUCUUCAUAUGAAGCUCAAUCAUCAUGAUUCACAGAAAAACCUGCAGCUUCAGACUUCAAUCUUCAGUGAAAAUGAGUUCAAAUAAUGAGAAAAAUUUGCUGAAAAAAGGGGAUGAUGUUUGGAUGAAGCCAUGGAGACGGUGUGAACAUGUACUUUAGAUGUUACAGCUGGAGUGCUCUGAGAGUGUUUAUAGUGCUGUGAGUUUAACACUUCAUGACUGAGAGCAGAACAGAACACAAUCUUCAUCAUCACACAAGACAAAAGAACAACAAUGAACACAAUCACCUUCUUCAUCUGGACUCUCACACUGUUUGCUCAAGAAUCCAGAGGAGUGACUCUGACUCAACCUGAAGUUAAAACUGUCCAACAGGGUCAAACAGCUACAAUAGAGUGUCAUAUAGAUGUAGGAAUAAGGUAUAGCCACUUAGCCUGGUAUCAGCAGAAACCUGGAGAAGCUCCUAAACUCCUGAUUUAUUAUAUAAACACCCUCCAGUCAGGAACUCCAUCUAGAUUCAGUGGCAGUGGAACAGCAAGUACUGGACGAGAUUUCACUCUGACCAUCAGUGGAGUCCAGACUGAAGAUACAGGAGAUUAUUACUGUCAGAGUUUACACAGCAUUAACAGUAAAGCUGUGUUCACACAGUGAUAAAGAGUGGUACAAAAACCUCGGUCAGUCAGACGUCACAGUGAUGCACUGAUACAGCUGAGAGAUACUGCAGCUGCUGAUGGAGGAUCACAAACAAUGGUGGAAAAAAAAGUACACUUCUAUGGUCAUGCAUCCAAUGUCAGUAUGUGCACUCAACUUGAGUGCGAUCUAAAAGCAGACCCCUGUGAGCCCUUGAAGACCCAUUUCCCACAUCCAGUAACCCAUGACGAUGUUUUUGUUAUGAUGGACGCUUGCCACAUGCUGAAGCUGACAUGCAAUAUGUUGCAGGCAUACAGCCCAAUUAGAAGCAUAACUGGCAGUAUCAAUUGGAAGUACAUAGUUCAUCUGAACAAUGUCCAAAAGAAAAGUGGACUACAUGCUGCCAACAGAGUCACAGAUAAGCAUGUGAACUUUGCUAAUCAGAAGAUGAAGGUCUCCCUGGCUGCUCAGACUUUGAGUAGCUCUGUGGCAGUGGCGCUCCGCACGUCGCAGGAGGUGGGCUAUGCAGAGUUCAAAGAUUGUGAGGCUACUUCAGAAUUCAUUAAGGUAAUGCAGCUAGGGAUUUGCAUCACUGACCAAAAUCAUUUCUAACAUUUGAGUGAUUAAUUGCUUUAACCCCUUUAACCCUUUAACACCCACCCUCCCUUUGUGGUUGGUCCGUUGGUCAGCAACCCCAAAAUGAGGGGGGUUGUUAAAAUGUGAAUGCCACCAGGAUUAUCCCUUUAUCUUUUUCUUCUAUUUUUUUCAAUUUGAGCAUCGGGAAUGAUUAAAUAAUUAUGACCAUCCUCAAAUUCAACAAUAUGCAAGAACUUGGAUAAAACUACUACAUACUUACCUCAGAAGCACCCUUAUUGUCACAUGUCAGCAUAGCCACAGAGGAAAUGGAGAGAAAUCAAACUAUGCCUCAUACUUGGGUGUUUACUAUCUGAUACCUGUUGACACUCAGUUAUAGUGAUGAUUUCAGUGCUUCCAGUUAAUUUAGGUAUUUGUUUAUAGAUAACAGACAGGCUGUUUGACAUCUUGAACAGUCGCAAUCCCAGAGCCAAAGGGUUCAAAGCCCCCCUUGGUUCUAGGAAUUGGACAAGCACCAGGGAGUUCUUGUCAAAAGCCAGGGGGUACUUGCUCACUUUGAAGAUGGAGGAUGGCAAACCCCUUUACCGAACAAAGAGGUCUUUUAAAAUAGUGACUGUUGUAUUAGUGAUGCACUGACACCAUUUGUAGUCGCCAAUACCCAGUACAAAUUCUUUAUUAUAAUUAAAUUAUCAGAAUGAGGCGGCUGAUUUAGAAAAUAUGGGUUUAUUUUAUUCUUCGUUAGAUGUAUACAAGUAGUCAAUUUACAAAUCAUUAAAUUAUCUAAGGUAAAACUCUGCCGGUUUCAGUGCAUCCCUCCAGUCCAUGAUAUAAGUUCAUGAGAUGCUCUGUUCUCUUGUUUAUCUAUCUUCUGCAUCGAGUUCAUAAGAUGCUCUUUUCUGUCUGCGUCAAGUUCAUAAAGUGGUACGUAUUAUUAAUAUGAUACUAUCUUGCUCCAAUGUGUUUGCUCUCUGCAAAUUUGUUUCAGUUCCAAUUCUCUCAUAUUCAGUUUUUUUCUCCCCAGAUGCCGGUGUCAAAAUGGUAUGUAUUGGAUGGUCUUCAUGUUAUGUUGUGAAUUGUUUCAAGAAUGUUUAGUGUCCUAAAAGUAAUUUUAAGGACCCUAAACCUCACACUGAUUAUACUUUUAAGGUCAGGGAUGGACACUAGUCAGCUUCACGAUAUGUCCUGACCUACAGGUUCAGCCAGGACCACUUGGAGCUUCUCUUCAACUCCAUCAGAGCAUCCGGUGGCUGGAAUAACAACCCUAAUGCCAGCCAGUUCAAGUACAUCUUGUUAAACCAUGCAGAGGCAAUGUGACGGCACAGGAUGACAGUCCCUCUACAAGCCUGUCAGCUGUAGAUAUGUCCUCUGCAGCAGGAGGAGAAGAUCUUCCAUCCCCCUUUGCUGACAUUCCUGCCCUAGUACAUGACCACAGCUACCUUCCCGUCCGCUUCGAUGGUCUUGUGGACAACGCUCUCGUGUACAUUUCAGGAUUUGUUGUUGAUGGGAUCUGAAGAAGCUGUCCUGUGAUGUCUGCCGUGCCAGCCUGGUGACAGACGCUGCAUCUGCCAUCAAGGACCAGAGCUACCACCUGCUGACUUUAAAAAACAACGGAGGUCUGGUGAUUCCAUCAGGAUGCACAGUGAGGGUCGUCAGGGCAGCAGAGUGGGUCAUUCGUCAGGCAUCAGCAAGUACCGGACGAUCACAGCCCAUCAAACUGCUAGAGGUCGUGUACAUUGUAUGGAAGAGGAUAGGGUCAGAGGAUGUGUUUGUGCUCGGGGAGCACAUCGGCGAAACGCAGUAUGGCAUAGACAGCCAUCACCAUACGCUGUUAACAUUAGUUGUGUCCUUGCUUUUUAAUCUAAGGCUGCACCACAUCGCUAAAAUGACUAACCUUACCUUACAGAGCAACAACAUGCGAGAGAAGCUCAAUAAAACCGUCCUUUUCAAAGGGCAUUAGCCCAAGCUAUGUUUUUUGGGUCAUUGUUUUAUCUCUGUCUUCCACAGUAGUGUAGUUCUCUCUACAGGGUGGGGAUUUCAACAUGCAUUCAGCAUUUCUUUAUGUAUAUUUGUAAAGGGGAAUCUUGUACCUAUUUUUUAUUGCAAAUAAAUGCCACUUUUAUAAUAGUUUAAAAA